rnacentral:rRNA from 1 species
GACGAACGCUGGCGGCGUGCUUAACACAUGCAAGUCGAACGGAAAGGCCCUGCUUUUGUGGGGUGCUCGAGUGGCGAACGGGUGAGUAACACGUGAGUAACCUGCCCUUGACUUUGGGAUAACUUCAGGAAACUGGGGCUAAUACCGGAUAGGAGCUCCUGCUGCAUGGUGGGGGUUGGAAAGUUUCGGCGGUUGGGGAUGGACGCGGGGCUGAUCGGUUUGUUGGUGGGGUAGUGGUUUACCAAGGCUUUGACGGGUCGGCGGCCUGAGAGGGGGACCGGCGCCAUGGGGACUGAGAGACGGCCCAGACGGCUACGGGAGGCAACAGGGGGGAAUAUUGCACAAUGGGCGGAAGCCUGAUGCAGCAACGCCGCGUGCGGGAUGACGGCCUUCGGGUUGUAAACCGCUUUCGCCUGUGACGAAGCGUGAGUGACGGUAAUGGGUAAAGAAGCACCGGCUAACUACGUG